rnacentral:pre_miRNA from 1 species
AGAGUAGUUGCUGGAUCCUUUGGUAAGUGCACGUUUUGUUAAGGAACUGCCUUACUGUUUUCCAGAGUGGCUGUAUCAUUUUCACUUUCCACCAGCAAU